rnacentral:tRNA from 1 species
GCCGGAGUGGUGAAACUGGUAGACGCGCUGGACUCAAAAUCCAGUGGCCCUUGCGGCCGUGAGAGUUCGAGUCUCUCCUCCGGCACCA